rnacentral:tRNA from 1 species
AGCUCAGCUGGCUAGAGCGCCUGCUUUGCACGCAGGAGGUCAGGGGUUCGACUCCCCUAGAAUCCA